UUGGGUCAACCACGAAUAGUUCAAGAACUUGUGUGUCUCUCUAAGGCGCAUCGUCCCAAUAUUAUCUAUCUUUCUGAAACUAGAGAAAACAAAGAUUAUGUUGAGAGUUUGCAUUAUCGAUUGGGUAUGAAAAAUGUCCUUGCUUAUUCUGUACAAGGCAAAGGUGGAGGUUUGGUGUGGGAUGAGCAAUAUUCUUUGGAGUUAAAUAAGUAUGGGGAACAUUUUAUUCACAUGUAUAUUUGCAAUGGAGAUAGCACAAAUUGGAGGAGCACCUUCAUGUAUGGGAAACCUAAGGCGAACCAAAGUAUGUUAUGUGGGAUCCUUUGA
rnacentral:rRNA from 1 species